rnacentral:rRNA from 1 species
AGCGGAGGAAAAGAAACUAACAAGGAUUCCCCUAGUAACUGCGAGUGAAGCGGGAAAAGCUCAAAUUUAAAAUCUGUCAGUCUUUGGCUGUCCGAGUUGUAAUCUAGAGAAGYGUUAUCCGCGCUGGACCGUGUACAAGUCUCCUGGAAUGGAGCGUCAUAGAGGGUGAGAAUCCCGUCUUUGACACGGACUGCCAGGGCUUUGUGAUGCGCUCUCAAAGAGUCGAGUUGUUUGGGAAUGCAGCUCAAAAUGGGUGGUAAAUUCCAUCUAAAGCUAAAUAUUGGCGAGAGACCGAUAGCGAACAAGUACCGUGAGGGAAAGAUGAAAAGAACUUUGGAAAGAGAGUUAAACAGUACGUGAAAUUGCUGAAAGGGAAACGCUUGAAGUCAGUCGCGUUGUCCAGGGAUCAACCUUGCUUUUGCUUGGUGUACUUUCUGGUUGACGGGUCAGCAUCAAUUUUGACUAUUGGAAAAAGAUUAGGGGAAUGUGGCAUCUUCGGAUGUGUUAUAGCCCUUGGUUGCAUACAAUGGUUGGGAUUGAGGAACUCAGCACGCCGAAAGGCCGGGUUUUAACCACGUACGUGCUUAGGAUGCUGGCAUAAUGGCUUUAAUCGACCCGUCUUGAAACACGGACCAAGGAGUCUAACAUGCCUGCGAGUGUUUGGGUGGAAAACCCGAGCGCGUAAUGAAAGUGAAAGUUGAGAUCCCUGUCAUGGGGAGCAUCGACGCCCGGACCAGACCUUUUGUGACGGUUCCGCGGUAGAGCAUGUAUGUUGGGACCCGAAAGAUGGUGAACUAUGCCUGAAUAGGGUGAAGCCAGAGGAAACUCUGGUGGAGGCUCGUAGCGAUUCUGACGUGCAAAUCGAUCGUCAAAUUUGGGUAUAGGGGCGAAAGACUAAUCG